GCCGGUACAUGCUCUGUUAGGAGCUUCCCUUUUCUUCCACUCUACCGCAAGGCAUUGCACUCUCUCUGCAGUAGCAGAGUGCAACAGGCGACAGGCCUCACAUUAUCAAAUGCUGUCCAAUUCCCACCCAUAACGUUACAUAAAUCAGGCUUGCAUGCUGCAGACAUGUAAUAAUGAACCAUCAAGAAGCUGCAUCUCCUUCUGCAGAUACAACACACCUCCCCCUUCCUCAAGCUUCCUCCUCUGCUGAUCCUUCAGGAAUCUCUCUGUCAAGUCCACCGCUUCCUGGGCUGAUGCUGAUGGAUCUCCAUUGCACUGGUGUUCUCCCCCACUUGUACAGCACUUGGGUGCACUCUAUCCAAUUGGACUGGACCUCUCUACACAGGCUGUUCCUGAGAAGACAUGUUCUGUCCACCAAAAAAAAAAAUCUUCAUCUGUGUUCCUCUCAAAAACAAAACCUGUCUGUCACCAUCGACCAAUCCCACCACUGCCACAUUUUGUGAAACCCCAUGUAGUGGGAAUUAGCACCAACUACACUAUGGGCCAUUGUUGUUUAUGUACCGAAAGUAACAAUGAUGAGAUCAGAGAGCCACAGACACAAAA